ACGGGGGGGGCAAGCGUUGUUCGGAAUUACUGGGCGUAAAGGGCGCGUAGGCGGUUCGCUAAGUUGGAUGUGAAAACUCUGGGCUCAACCCAGAGCCUGCAUCCAAAACUGGCGGGCUAGAGUUCUGGAGGGGGUAGCGGAAUUCCUGGUGUAGCGGUGAAAUGCGUAGAUAUCAGGAGGAACACCGGUGGCGAAGGCGGCUACCUGGACCAGCACUGACACUGAGGCACGAAAGCGUGGGGAGCAAACAGGA
rnacentral:rRNA from 1 species